AAGUCUGUAGAUGAGUCAAAUGCUUAUCUACUUAAGGACAAGUUGUGAUGAGGAGCGAAAUUUAGUAGCGAAGUGAGAAACGUCACACUGCCAAGAAAAGCUUCUAGUUAGAGUUUAAUCACCCGUACCGCAAACCGACACAGGUAGUCGAGGCGAGUAGCCUAAGGUGAGCGAGAGAACUCUCGUUAAGGAACUCGGCAAAAUGACCCCGUAACUUCGGGAGAAGGGGUGCUGAGCGCAAGCUCAGCCGCAGUGAAUAGGCCCAGGCGACUGUUUAUCAAAAACACAGGUUUCUGCAAAAUCGUAAGAUGAAGUAUAGGGGCUGACGCCUGCCCGGUGCUGGAAGGUUAAGAGGAUGGGUUAGCGUAAGCGAAGCUCAGAAUUGAAGCCCCAGUAAACGGCGGCCGUAACUAUAACGGUCCUAAGGUAGCGAAAUUCCUUGUCGGGUAAGUUCCGACCCGCACGAAAGGCGUAACGAUCUGGGCACUGUCUCAACGAGAGACUCGGUGAAAUUAUAAUACCCGUGAAGAUGCGGGUUACCCGCGACAGGACGGAAAGACCCCAUGGAGCUUUACUGUAGCUUGAUAUUGGGUGUUUGUACAACUUGUACAGGAUAGGUAGGAGCCGUAGAAGUCGGAACGCUAGUUUCGAUGGAGGCAUUGGUGGGAUACUACCCUCGUUGUAUGAACACUCUAACCCUCGCCGGCA
rnacentral:rRNA from 1 species